rnacentral:rRNA from 1 species
CCUACGGGAGGCUGCAGUGGGGAAUAUUGCACAAUGGGGGAAACCCUGAUGCAGCGACGCCGCGUGAGUGAAGAAGUAUCUCGGUACGUAAAGCUCUAUCAGCAGGGAAGAAAAUGACGGUACCUGACUAAGAAGCCCCGGCUAACUACGUGCCAGCAGCCGCGGUAAUACGUAGGGGGCAAGCGUUAUCCGGAUUUACUGGGGGUAAAGGGAGCGUAGACGGCAGCACAAGUCUGGAGUGAAAUCCCGGGGCUUAACCCCGGAACUGCUUUGGAAACUGUGCGGCUGGAGUGCAGGAGGGGUAAGCGGAAUGCCUAGUGUAGCGGUGAAAUGCGUAGAUAUUAGGAGGAACACCGGUGGCGAAGGUGGCUUACCGGCCUGUAACUGACGUUGAGGCUCGAAAGCGUGGGGAGCAAACAGGAUUAGAUACCCUUGUAGUC